rnacentral:lncRNA from 1 species
CUACUUCUGUAGCUCAGUUUAUAUUUGCUAUGAAUAAAAUAGGUAGCAAGCCUAUCUUUCUUUCAAAAAAAAAAAAAAAAUCUACUGAGCCGUAGACAAAUAGCAUCUAAACCGCCACCAAGUCAACUUUUACUCUCACCGAUUGUCCCUAGCUAGAGCAAGUGGCAAAAAGCUUAGUGGUUGGUAUCCGAGAUUUCAAGUUUGAAUUUUAGUUAAUUCAUAUUUUCAGCUAAGUUUAUUUCUAAAUAAUAAACAAAGCGGAUAUCGUGCAACCUAUCUCUCAAAAAAAAAAAAAAAAAAAAA